CCUACGGGUGGCUGCAGUGAGGAAUAUUGGUCAAUGGGCGCGAGCCUGAACCAGCCAAGUAGCGUGCAGUAUUACUUCCCUACUUUUUUUCAACUUCUUUUAUAAAGGAAUAAAGUGAGGCACGUGUGCCUUUUUGUAUGUACUUUAUGAAUAAGGAUCGGCUAACUCCGUGCCAGCAGCCGCGGUAAUACGGAGGAUCCGAGCGUUAUCCGGAUUUAUUGGGUUUAAAGGGAGCGAAGAGGGGUUGUUCAGUCAGUUGUGAAAGUUUGCGGCUCAACCGGAAAAUUGCAAUUGAUACUGGCAGCCUGGAGUACAGUUGAGGUAGGCGGAAUUCGUGGUGUAGCGGUGAAAUGCUUAGAUAUCACGAAGAACUCCGAUUGCGAAGGCAGCCUACUAAACUGCCACUGACAUUGAUGCUCGAAAGUGUGGGUAUCAAACAGGAUUAGAUACCCGAGUAGUC
rnacentral:rRNA from 1 species